CUUAAUAUUCAUCAGUAAGACUCGUUUUAUGUAAUCUUUGUUUUGUAGUAGCUAGUUCCUUAUGAGAGCACAAAACUGGGAAGGAGUUCCUGGGUCACCAAAUCCUAUUUCUCAAUAUCUUCAAGAGGUGCUUAAAAAGGAUAAGAAAUGAGAAUAAGUGGCUUCACAGGGAUUUGCAGACUACCUUGCAGUCUCACCUGAGGGUAGCUCACCAUGAUCAUUGCUUGUCUGACUGGAGGCUUUAGAGGAGUCAGAAGUACAGGUACUACACACAAUCCUGUUUUCGGAUUAAAUUUCCUCUUUAUAAUCUGAAUAAAGCUGCAAAUAUUUGACUUUGACCUACAGAUUGCAGUGGAAUAAAUACUAACUACUGCUUGAAGAAAAACUGUAAUAUAUCUAAAAAGACUGAGGUCCAAAUCUUCAAAGGCUUUAAAAUACCUCUAACAUUUUGAUUUGUGUUUUCAAGAA